rnacentral:miRNA from 1 species
CGCUGAUUGCUAAAGAAACAGGUUCCUAGGCACCAAGCUGAGCUACUGAAUGAGAAUAUCUGUGAGUGGGGUCCAGGGAUCUGCAUUUUAACUACAUGUCUCACUCUC